GUGCCAGCAGCCGCGGUAAUACGGAGGGUCCGAGCGUUAUCCGGAAUCAUUGGGUUUAAAGGGUCCGCAGGCGGUCAAUUAAGUCAGAGGUGAAAUCCCAUAGCUUAACUAUGGAACUGCCUUUGAUACUGGUUGACUUGAGUCAUAUGGAAGUAGAUAGAAUGUGUAGUGUAGCGGUGAAAUGCAUAGAUAUUACACAGAAUACCGAUUGCGAAGGCAGUCUACUACGUAUGUACUGACGCUGAGGGACGAAAGCGUGGGGAGCGAACAGGAUUAGAUACCCUGGUAGUCCACGCCGUAAACGAUGGAUACUAGUUGUUGGGCAUUAGCUCAGUGACUAAGCGAAAGUGAUAAGUAUCCCACCUGGGGAGUACGGUCGCAAGACUGAAACUCAAAGGAAUUGACGGGGGCCCGCACAAGCGGUGGAGCAUGUGGUUUAAUUCGAUGAUACGCGAGGAACCUUACCAGGGCUUAAAUGUAGUCUGACAGCUUUAGAGAUAGAGUUUUCUUCGGACAGAUUACAAGGUGCUGCAUGGUUGUCGUCAGCUCGUGCCGUGAGGUGUCAGGUUAAGUCCUAUAACGAGCGCAACCCCUGUCAUUAGUUGCCAGCAUGUAAAGAUGGGGACUCUAAUGAGACUGCCGGUGCAAACCGCGAGGAAAGUGGGGAUGACGUCAAAUCAUCACGGCCCUUACGUCCUGGGCCACACACGUGCUACAAUGGUAUGGACAA
rnacentral:rRNA from 1 species